ACGUAGGGUGCGAGCGUUAAUCGGAAUUACUGGGCGUAAAGUGUGCGCAGGCGGCGUCGCAAGUCGAGUGUGAAAGCCCCGGGCUUAACUUGGGAAUUGCGCUCGAAACUACGGUGCUGGAGUAUGGCAGAGGAAGGUGGAAUUCCACGUGUAGCGGUGAAAUGCGUAGAUAUCUGGAGGAACAUCAGUGGCGAAGGCGGCUUCCUGGCCCAAAACUGACGCUGAGGUGCGAAAGCGUGGGGAGCAAACAGGA
rnacentral:rRNA from 1 species